rfam:Oryza glaberrima chromosome 8 Oglab08_0001_31, whole genome shotgun sequence.
AUUAAGCGCAGUUAUGAGUUUCAGUGUCCAACGUUUAACCGUCCGUCUUAUUUAAUUUUUUAUCGAUUAGUAUUUGUAUUAUUAUUAGAUGAUAAAAUAUGAAUAGUACUUUAUCAUGACUUCAUUUUUUAAUUUUUUUUCAUAAAUUUUUCAGAUAAAACGGGCGGUCAAACGUCGGACACGGAAAUUUAUGGAUGUACUUAAA